CGGGUGCACCUUCCGUACAUUUGUGGCACAAAGAGCACAACACGGGCACCCUCUGCUCUUGCAUGCACCCUUCUUGGGGUUCCACAAUGACUCUGUCUAGGGACUCUUGUCUCCUUUUUCUCCCCCUCCUGAGGCUGGAGGGGAGCGUCACUGGUUUGCGGCCUAGACUCAGCGAAAGUUGUGGCUUUUGUUUAGUUUUGUGUUCUUGUUUUCGUUCUCGUAGGAUCAAGACUGAAGAGUUCCUUUGCAGGCCAAGGUCAAAAAGGAGGAAGGUGGAAAUCUCGGGGAGGAAGAACCAAACAGGGAGUUCCACAGGUUGCUUUUUUUGGACAAUGGAAGGGAGUCGAUCGAUAUGCCAGGAGCAGCCCUGCCCUUGGUUUGCUAUUGAAUAACCGAGAGGGGAUUACACAUUUACCCAAAGCCUGACCCGGCUGACCUCAAUCUCUUUCCCUGCCAAGUCACAAGUGAAAGACUUAUUGAUCGGAGACGGUUCAUUUCUGUCCUGGGCUCAAAAGCCAACAAAAUAGAGAUGCGAGCAGAAAUCCAUGUGCCGAAGGGAGCAGAAACCCAUCCGUUGGCAUUUCGGUGACGCCCUGAUUGCCAGAUUCUGAUUUUACUCCUUCUUUAUUGCAAUGCUUUCUAACCUGGCGAUGCUUUUGCAAACCUCUCCUGUUGCAACUCAGCAUCCGCUGCUUCCUUCCUUUGCCGGAAUCGCCCACCUGUUCUGCUUCCUCCUCCCUGCAUGGCACAUUGUUUCCGAAGUCAUCGCAGGUGAUUUAUGGCAUGCACUAAGGUGGGAGGGUGUUAUAGUUUUGCACAUCGGCUUCAACGACCGAGAAGGAUAAGGUUGGAUGGGAUGGCAUGCGGUGGGCGGAUGGCGCCUUGAUACGUCUUGACAGAUGUCCCCAAGAGUCAUCCGCCGAAUCCAGACUGUUACGUCUCAAGGCGGAGAGAAGAUGCUGGAGAGAGAGAGAGAGACGGAAAGAAAGAAAGAAGGGAAUGAAAAGUGCUGACAGGGACGCUAUCUCUUCCCUUUCCUUCCCUGCCGUGUGCCGAGAACAGAGACACAAAUCCCUUUAACACCAUGCAGUUUUAAUUCCUGCUGCCGUAGGCCUUCUCGCUCUUGAGUCUCUAUCUUUCCUAACCUGGAGCAAAAUGAACUCUUUGCAAGAGUAGACGGACUGCAUGAUGGACCUUAUCACAUUGGGAACAGGAGCUUCCCAGUGAUGCAAUGGGUUAAACCCUUGUGCCUCUCUAACUACACAGAUAUCUAUGAGUACAAUGUAAAUAUAAAGCCUAUAAAGCCCUGAACGGUUCUGGCCCAGUUUAUUUGUCUGAACGUAUCUCCUGCUAUGAUCCACCUAGGGCUGUGAGAUCAUCUUUGUUGUCCCCCCAUUAUCAUAGAAUCCUAGAAUCAAAGAGUUGGAAGAGACCUCCUGGGCCAUCCAGUCCAACCCCAUUCUGCCAAGAAGCAGGAAUAUUGCAUUCAAAGCACCCCUGACAGAUGGCCAUCCAGCCUCUGUUUAAAAGCUUCCAAAGAAGGAGC